GCAACAAAACUCAGCUGGUAGAGCAUAAGACUCUCAAUUUCAGGGUUAUGGGUUCAAGCCACACGUUCAGCA